AUUAAGGUAGCAAAGCCCGGCCAUGCAAUAGGCUUAAAACCUUGACACAGAUGUUCAAAUCAUCUCCUUAAUA
rnacentral:tRNA from 1 species